rnacentral:rRNA from 1 species
UGGGGCCUCUUGCACAAUUUUCUCAAGCCUGCUUCCUCCAUGCCGCGUGUGUGAAGAAGGACAUCGGGUUGUAAAUCUUUAUCAGCGAGGAGGAAGGGUAGUGUGUUAAUAGCACAUUGCAUUGACGUUACUCGCAGAAGAAGCACCGGCUAACUCCGUGCCAGCAGCCGCGGUAAUACGGAGGGUGCAAGCGUUAAUCGGAAUUACUGGGCGUAAAGCGCACGCAGGCGGUUUGUUAAGUCAGAUGUGAAAUCCCCGCGCUUAACGUGGGAACUGCAUUUGAAACUGGCAAGCUAGAGUCUUGUAGAGGGGGGUAGAAUUCCAGGUGUAGCGGUGAAAUGCGUAGAGAUCUGGAGGAAUACCGGUGGCGAAGGCGGCCCCCUGGACAAAGACUGACGCUCAGGUGCGAAAGCGUGGGGAGCAAACA